rnacentral:rRNA from 1 species
UACGUAGGGGGCAAGCGUUGUCCGGAAUCAUUGGGCGUAAAGCGCGCGUAGGCGGCCCGGUAAGUCCGCUGUAAAAGUCCAGGGCUCAACCCUUGAAAGCCGGUUGAUACUGUCGGGCUAGAGUCCGGAAGAGGCGAGUGGAAUUCCCGGUGUAGCGGUGAAAUGCGCAGAUAUCAGGAGGAACACCGGUGGCGAAGGCGGAUCUCGUGGGCCUUACCUGACGCUCAGGCGCGAAAGCUAGGGGAGCAAACAGG